rnacentral:lncRNA from 1 species
GUAGCAGUCAGUAUUAAAUUACCAACAUUUAAAUGUUUGAAUGUGCAACAUGUGUGAGUAGCACAACUAUUUUCCAUUUAGCCUAACAGAAAUGCAGUAUAAUGGCAGUAUGAAAAGACUGGAAAUUUAGCAAGUGAUGGAGCAGAAACGCCAUUCAUCAUUCGAGCGUGGAGGCUGGGUUGGAUGUUCAGCAGCAAGCCCUCUCGUGCAUUGUGUAGGGCCAUGGAAGCAUGGUACUGCCUGCAAAGCAGUGGGAAGAUCAAACAGCCAGCUGCUCAACAUUGGUCACUGCCUUCAGAGAACGAUGAACACAUCAGCGCGGCUGAGAGCUGCUGUAGAUCACCCAGCACACACAGAGUAUCACACUGACCUUCAGAGAAGUUUCAAAGUAGAGGAUGUUGUGGUACCACCUGUCACUGCUAUAAAUAUUUCUUUGCUGCAAUCCGCCCACGUGGCGAAGGAUGACACUGCCGUGUGCCCCAGCUGUCCUGGCCAGCGUCACUUCACAAAGAAUUGGGCUGCUUAG